rnacentral:rRNA from 1 species
GACGAACGCUGGCGGCGCGCCUAACACAUGCAAGUCGAACGAGCGAGAGAGAGUUUACUUUUUCGAGCGAGUGGCGAACGGGUGAGUAACGCGUGAGGAACCUGCCUCAAAGAGGGGGACAACAGUUGGAAACGACUGCUAAUACCGCAUAAGCCCACGGCUCGGCAUCGAGCAGAGGGAAAAGGAGCAAUCCGCUUUGAGAUGGCCUCGCGUCCGAUUAGCUAGUUGGUGAGGUAAUGGCCCACCAAGGCGACGAUCGGUAGCCGGACUGAGAGGUUGAACGGCCACAUUGGGACUGAGACACGGCCCAGACUCCUACGGGAGGCAGCAGUGGGGAAUAUUGCACAAUGGGGGAAACCCUGAUGCAGCGACGCCGCGUGGAGGAAGAAGGUCUUCGGAUUGUAAACUCCUGUUGUUGAGGAAGAUAAUGACGGUACUCAACAAGGAAGUGACGGCUAACUACGUG